CUAUCGCUUACAGAUGGGCCCGCGGUGCAUUAGCUAGUUGGUAGGGUAAUGGCCUACCAAGGCAACGAUGCAUAGCCGACCUGAGAGGGUGAUCGGCCACACUGGGACUGAGACACGGCCCAGACUCCUACGGGAGGCAGCAGUAGGGAAUCUUCCGCAAUGGACGAAAGUCUGACGGAGCAACGCCGCGUGUAUGAAGAAGGUUUUCGGAUCGUAAA
rnacentral:rRNA from 1 species